rnacentral:lncRNA from 1 species
AUGCGCUUUUGCACAAGCUCCUCACCCAGUUGUGCUCCUUGUUUCUGGGCACAAUUAAAGGAGUCAAAGGGCUGGGUUUUAUCAGUUUAUAAAGAGGCCCACUACUUUGGAGUAAUGACUGCAUUUGCUAAAACAGAGAUAAGAAUCAUAUCCAGCUCUACAGAUGUUCUUGGACAACAGUUAAUGGUAUUCUUCAUGAGUGGUUGUCUAGCUAGGGCUCCUGGGACUUCCAGUCCAAGAUCAGCUAGAGCAGUGGUUCUCAACCUGUGGGUCCCCAGAUGUUUUGGCCUUGAACUCCCAGAAAUCCAAACAGCUGGUAAACUGGCUGAGAUUUCUGGGAGUUGUAGUCCAAAAUAUCUGAGGACCAACAGGUUGAGAACCACUGAGCUAGAAGUUCAUAUACCGGAAUUUCCAGGAUACUGAGAGAUGAACUCCAAAUAGAAAUUUUCCAAGCUCUGUUCACAAUUAAUCAGUCUGGCCUGAAAAACAGGGAAAAAAGUGCCUGGCCCAAGGUCACCCAUUAGCUGAAUGGAGAUUUGAAUUUAGUUGUCUCAGAUGCAAAUGGAUGCUGCAACCACCACAACAAACUGGCUCUUAUUCCACUAUAUUAAGGAACAAGAAGACAGACAAGACAGUAUUUGCUACAGGGUAAUUGUGAUAGUGAUGUCUCUGAUUAAGCCAAUAGAUUGUUAUUGAAACAUAUCUGCUUUUUCAGUAGGAGGAAUUUAAGAUUAGAAGCUGAGCGGUGCCUUGCCCAAGGGCAUUCAGUGGGUUUCCAUGGCCAAACUGUAAUAUGAACCCUGGUCUCAUGGAGUCUUAGUCUAGCACUCAGACCAGACCACGACACUGACUCUUGUACUUAAUCAUGUUUGUGUGCAUGCGCCUCCAAGUUGCCUGUCGACUUACGGUGUCCCCAUGAAUUUCGCAGGGCUGCAGGACUACAAAUCCAAUAGUGUACUUGGAACAUCUGAAAGCAUACAUGCGUGCGCACACUGCAAACAAUAAUAGCAGCAAUAAAAACACAAACACUCUA